rnacentral:rRNA from 1 species
CCGGCACGGACGUCGCGACCCGUUUGGUGUCGGUCUCAGGAGACGCGUUUCACGUUCGUCGACGCGUCGUCUGCCUCGGUAGGCGCGCGUUGCGAGUACGCGUUCGUGUUCCGGCCGACUCGCCAGACGGUAGGUUAAUGGUGGCCGCGGCGGUCGUUCGCUUCGCGGCGAUCAGCGCCGUCCGCGGUGCCGGUUUGCGACGAAUCUUCGGGCCUCUUUCCGACCCGUCUUGAAACACGGACCAAGGAGUCUAACGUGCGCGCGAGUCGCGGGGUGUCGAGCGGCGGUCGUGUUUCGGCACGACCGUCGUUCGUUACGACGCGAAACCCGUACCGUUCAUUCGGAAGGCGCAAUGAAAGUGAAAUGGGGAAGAUGGCGUUACCGAGUUCACGUUUCGCGACUCGAUCGCGACCGGUCGCCCGCAUUCCCAGGGCGUCCCAACGGCUCGGCGGCGUUGCGGAUCGUCGUUCCUUCGGGAACGGCGGUCGGGCGUCGUCGGUCCGGGGCGCACCUACAGCGUGCACGUUGGUACCCGAAAGAUGGUGAACUAUGCCCGGCCAGGAUGAAGUCA